rnacentral:rRNA from 1 species
GCCAGCAGCUAGCUCUCUGCAACUUUUACAUGGUCACACACUGAAGCUAAGCAGAGCUGUGCCUGGUCAGUACCUGGAUGGGAGACCACAUGGGAAAGCUAGGUUGCUGCUGGAA